AGUUCCUUCCAAGCGCCACGUGUCGCAGGGACCGACUCCUCCCGAUGGCCAGCACCAGAGUCACCAUGUCUGAGCCAAAGCCUGGGGGGUGGCUCGGGUCACACACAAGGCGAGGCUGCGGGGGGUGGGAAUUUGGUGGGUGGUGGGAGGAUGGGUUUCUGGACGGCCUCACCAUUAUCUGCCAGAUCCAGGGAGCUCACUGCGCCAGCAUCACACACCAAGUCUUGUAUCACCUGAGCACCCGCCGAGCGCAGCUGAAGGUGGAAGAGGAUCGUGCUCAGGCCAACAGGCCACAGGUGGGGAGGAUCACGAGCCCAACGGCCCAGCGCUCCCGCCUCGCAGCCCCAGCCCCAAAGGGCAAGUCCCGUGGCUCCGGGCAGGCUGCUCACCUCACACGCGCUGAGGUCCAGGUGUAGGUCAUUAAGGUGCGUGUUGAGCGCCAGGCCUUCCAGAAGCGCCCUGGGAGAGGGUGUCACAGGGGAUAGCGGAAGCUGGAAGAAGGGUCCCCAGAGCAGAGCGCGAACAGCAAGAAGGAACGAUGCCCGGGAGAUCAAGGGUGCGCCCUGGCAGGUCACUCACCGACUUCCCAGAUGGCUGAAGUCUCCUAGGCUGAAAUGGCGGCAGCCCUGACGAUGGUAGAUGGUGUCCACAUCCUGGGUGGGAAGAAAGUACCUCCAACUUGCUUGGGACCACAAGAGCACCAUGGCCUGGACCUCCAGGUAGCUGAAUGUGCAGUCCACCUAUGGAGUGCCUGGGUGAGCUUGGACCAAAGCGCAAGACCCAAAGCGCAAGACCCACCCUCUUGGGAGCCCAGUCCUUUGUGCAGCCUGGAUCUCAGAGCAAGACCUGUCUAGACUCCAGUCCUGCCUGAUGUUGGCAGCCCAGUGCUGUUGGGAGGGCAGAGUCCACAAGGACAAGAUGGACAACGUCACAGAUGCAACCCUCAUCAGGAAAGCUGCUAGAGGGCAAGGGGGCUGUGGCCAGGCCAUUGGGACUCACCCUCAGAGGGAGGCAGGUGUGGAGCAGGUAGGCUCUCCAUCGGAGCAGUGCCUGAGGGGAGAGAGUGUCUCACACCUUGGGCAGGGCAAGAGGCUCCUUCUGCUUGGGCCCCAGUGGCCCUCCCAGGCAGGCUCUGCCCCAGCCAUACCAGGACAUGACCUUGCUCGGCACCCUCCCGCUCUGGCAGCCAGGUUUUCAGCAGCAGUUCUGCCUCCUUGGGCCACAGGAACUUGG